rnacentral:lncRNA from 1 species
UCAACUCAAAAAUUAGUCGAGUCAGCUCGAAGACUAGUCGAGUCGACUCGAAGUCAGUUCGAGUCGACUUGUGAAGCUUUAACAACCAUAAUGGCUAGUUCUACAACAGCCCAGAUUUUAUCCAGAAUUUUUUUCAAUGGCUAUAUUUCAUCUCUAAUGGGCAAAAAUGACUAUUUCUAGCUUCAAACUGUAUCAAACUUACUGAAAAUCAAAGGAUAAUAUAUAAGACACAAAGGGAC